GACGUAGGGCGCAAGCGUUGUCCGGAUUUAUUGGGCGUAAAGAGCUCGUAGGCGGCCUGUCGCGUCGUCCGUGAAAACCUGGGGCUUAACUCUGGGCGUGCGGUCGAUACGGGCAGGCUAGAGGCAGGUAGGGGAGAUCGGAAUUCCUGGUGUAGCGGUGAAAUGCGCAGAUAUCAGGAGGAACACCGGUGGCGAAGGCGGAUCUCUGGGCCUGUUCUGACGCUGAGGAGCGAAAGCGUGGGGAGCGAACAGGAUUAGAAACCCCCGUAGUCC
rnacentral:rRNA from 1 species